rnacentral:rRNA from 1 species
GCACAGAGUUAGCCGUCCCUUCCUCUUUCACUACAAUCAACUUGCCUACUGUUAACAGACAAGGUUUGUUCGCAAAUGACAGGGGUUUACGGGCCGAAGCCCUUCAUCCCCCACGCGGCGUCGCUCCUUCAGGCUUUCGCCCAUUGAGAAAAAUUCUCGACUGCUGCCACCCGUAGGUGUCUGGACCGUGUCUCAGUUCCAGUGUGGCUGGUCGUCCUCUCAGACCAGCUACCCGUCUUAGCCUUGGUGGGCCGUUACCCCGCCAACUAGCUGAUAGGCCGCGGACUCAUCUGGAAGCGUCAGGCCUUGCGGUCCCCAACUUUAGUCUUCCAACCACAUCCGGCAUUAGUCCGGCUUUCGCCGAAUUAUUCCGAACUUCCAGGCAGAUGAUCCACGUGUUACGCACCCUUGCGCCGCUCCUACUCCCCAAUAUUGCUACCAGGAAAUAAGCGCUUGACUUGCAUGUCUUAUCCACGCCGCCAGCGUUCGUU